rnacentral:rRNA from 1 species
UGCCAGCAGCCGCGGUAAUACGGAGGGUGCAAGCGUUGUUCGGAAUCAUUGGGCGUAAAGCGGGUGUAGGCGGUCGGGUAAGUCGGAUGUGAAAUCCCAGGGCUCAACCCAGGAACUGCACUCGAAACUGCCAAGCUAGAGUCCCGGAGAGGAAGGCAGAAUUCCCGGUGUAGAGGUGAAAUUCGUAGAUAUCGGGAGGAAUACCAGUGGCGAAGGCGGCCUUCUGGACGGUGACUGACGCUCAGGCCCGAAAGUGUGGGGAGCAAACAGGAUUAGAUA